UACGUAGGCGGUUUAUUAAGUCAGAUGUGAAAGCCCCGGGCUUAACCUGGGAACUGCAUUUGAUACUGGUAAACUAGAGUAUGGUAGAGGGGGGUAGAAUUCCUAGUGUAGCGGUGAAAUGCGUGGAUAUUAGGAGGAAUACCAGUGGCGAAGGCGGCCCCCUGGACCAAUACUGACGCUGAGGUACGAAAGCGUGGGUAGCGAACA
rnacentral:rRNA from 1 species